rnacentral:rRNA from 1 species
AUUGAACGCUGGCGGCAUGCCUUACACAUGCAAGUCGAACGGCAGCACGGGAGCAAUCCUGGUGGCGAGUGGCGAACGGGUGAGUAAUAUAUCGGAACGUGCCCAGUCGUGGGGGAUAACGCAGCGAAAGCUGUGCUAAUACCGCAUACGAUCUAAGGAUGAAAGCGGGGGAUCGCAAGACCUCGCGCGAUUGGAGCGGCCGAUAUCAGAUUAGCUAGUUGGUGGGGUAAAGGCCCACCAAGGCGACGAUCUGUAGCUGGUCUGAGAGGACGACCAGCCACACUGGAACUGAGACACGGUCCAGACUCCUACGGGAGGCAGCAGUGGGGAAUUUUGGACAAUGGGCGCAAGCCUGAUCCAGCCAUGCCGCGUGCAGGAUGAAGGCCUUCGGGUUAUAAACUGCUUUUGUACGGAACGAAAAGACUCUUUCUAAUAAAGAGGGUCCAUGACGGUACCGUAAGAAUAAGCACCGGCUAACUACGUGCCAGCAGCCGCAGUAACAC